rnacentral:rRNA from 1 species
CCUACGGGUGGCAGCAGUGAGGAAUAUUGGUCAAUGGACGAGAGUCUGAACCAGCCAAGUAGCGUGAAGGAUGACUGCCCUCUGGGUUGUAAACUUCUUUUAUAAAGGAAUAAAACGAGGCACGUGUGCCUUUUUGCAUGUACUUUAUGAAUAAGGAUCGGCUAACUCCGUGCCAGCAGCCGAGGUAAUACGGAGGUUGCGAGCGUUAUCCGGAUUUAUUGGGUUUAAAGGGAGCGUAGAUGGGUUGUUAAGUCAGUUGUGAAAGUUUGCGGCUCAACCGUAAAAUUGCAAUUGAUACUGGCAGUCUUGAGUACAGUUGAGGUAAGCGGAAUUCGUGGUGUAGUGGUGAAAUGCGUAGAUAUCACGAAGAACCCCGAUGGCGAAGGCAGCUUACUGAACUGUGACUGACAUUGAUGCUCGAAAGUGUGGGUAGCAAACAGGAUUAGAUACCCCGGUAGUC